UCACCGGGUGUACAUCAGCUAG
rnacentral:miRNA from 1 species